GCUUUCUUUGGUAGAACGUAUACUAAAAUUGGAACAAUACAGAGAAUAUUAGCAUGGUCCCUGUGCAAGGAUGACAUGCAAAAUCAUGAAACAUUCCAUAUUUUU
ensembl:snRNA U6 U6 spliceosomal RNA